GCCGCUGUAGCUUAGUUGGUAGAGCACCCGGCUGUUAACCGGGAGGUCAUCGGUUCGAGCCCGAUCAGCGGCG
rfam:Thermoplasmatales archaeon I-plasma AMDT3_IPLC00002, whole genome shotgun sequence.